AGCGAACGCUGGCGGCAUGCUUAACACAUGCAAGUCGCACGGUCGGGUUUCGGCCCGGCAGUGGCGGACGGGUGAGUAACGCGUAGGUAUCUAUCCUUGGAUGGGGGACAACCGUGGGAAACUACGGCUAAUACCGCAUGACGACCGAGGUCCAAAGGCCGCGAGGCCGUCUGGGGAGGAGCCUGCGUCCGAUUAGCUAGUUGGUGGGGUAACGGCCUACCAAGGCGGUGAUCGGUAGCUGGUCNGAGAGGAUGAUCA
rnacentral:rRNA from 1 species